rnacentral:lncRNA from 1 species
CCAUUUAUACUUCACUUUUAAUACGAUAGAUGUUUAAAGUGUCAUUGGUUGCCACCUUAAAGGUUUUUAUGCGAUUUUACCAUUUGUUAUAUUAGUUCUCUUGUAAUUGUGCCUAUGUGAUGUACAUUGAUAAUCAAGGAAUACAAAUAAUUUUAUGGUACAAGAGCUAAAGCUCUUGAGACCUUUCUUCCUCAACGAUUCUCUUUCUUUUCUUUCUCUAAUCUAUUCUUCUUCUUCUCUCUUUUUCUAAUGGCAUGUAACGCCAUGGAAA